AGAAGAAAUGUCUAAUGCAUGAAAUGGAUGUUGUGCAACUGUCAACUACUGCAGCUGAAUCUGAGAUUGCAUUGAUGAAGCAAAAGUUUGAACAUGAAAUAAGGAGUAUGGUGGAUAAAUUAGAUGUGUCAAAUGCAUUGCUGCAGAAGCUUCAAUUAGAUAUUGAUAUUUUUGCUGACAGACUUGAGGUUAGCUCCAAAGUUGAAGAAAAAUGCACACAGCAGCACAAUGAGCUUUUCUCUG
rnacentral:misc_RNA from 1 species